rnacentral:rRNA from 1 species
AUGCCUAGCCGUAAAAUCAACUCACAUCAACUCACGCCCGGGUAUUACGAGCAUAGCUUAAAACCCAAAGGACUUGACGGUGUCCCAUCCCACUAGAGGAGCCUGUCCUAGAAUCGAUACUCCCCGUUUAACCUCACCACUUCUCGCUUUACUCAGUUAGUAUACUUCCGUCGCAAGCUUACCACAUGAGUGUCGUAGUAGGCAAAAUGAUUAUCAUAGUAAGUACGUCAGGUCAAGGUGCAGCAUAAGAAGUGGGCUGAGAUGGGCUACAAUUUCUAAUAUAGAACACACGAAACGCCAAAUGAAACAUGGCAUGAAGGAGGAUCUAGUAGUAAAAAGAGAAUAGAGUGCUCUUUUAAACAGCGGCUCUGGAACGCGUACAAACCGCCCGUCACCCUCCUCAACAAACACACUUUUGUAAAUAACACCAAUUUUGUUACCAGAGGAGGCAAGUCGUAACACGGUAAGUGUACUGGAAAGUGCACUUGGAUAA